rnacentral:misc_RNA from 1 species
AGCUACCAGUUUGAGCAGUGGUAUCAACUGGUUAGGAAAGAGAAAGCCAUUUAUCACACUUUAAACAUGUUGAGUUUUGAUGUUACCAAAAAGUGUUUAGUUGGCGAGGGUUGGAGCCCUGUAUUUGCAACAAGUCAGAUUCAGGAUGCUUUGCAGCGGGCUACCUAUGAUAGCAACUCCCAAGUUGGCUCAAUUUUUCAGGUUUUGCAUACAAAAGAACUCCCACCUACAUAUUUCAGGACAAACAAGUUCACUACAGCUUUUCAAGAAAUUGUUGAUGCA